rnacentral:rRNA from 1 species
UACGGGGGGGGCAAGCGUUGUUCGGAAUUACUGGGCGUAAAGGGCUCGUAGGCGGCCAACUAAGUCAGACGUGAAAUCCCUCGGCUUAACCGGGAACUGCGUCUGAUACUGGAUGGCUAGAGUGUGGGAGAGGGAUGCGGAAUUCCAGGUGUAGCGGUGAAAUGCGUAGAUAUCUGGAGGAACACCGGUGGCGAAGGCGGCAUCCUGGACCACGACUGACGCUGAGUGAGCGAAAGCCAGGGGAGCAAAGCGGGG